UUUCAUGUCCACGUGAAGUUGUACAAGUGAGAAGCCGCUCGUUCACCGGUCAACAGAAAUUCAGAUAUAGACAAAUUAUAUAUUUGAUGGUUGAUCGUGGGGCCAAUGUCCGGUGUGAAAUAGCAUCGGGAUCGUAAUACUGGAACGCCAUUUUUGUGACGUCCGUGGCGGGAAAUGAGAGGAUGAUCAGAGGGCCAGUGAGACGAUGUUUAAUUUGCCACAUGAUACUAUUUAAAGCAGAGCAUGAUGUAUCUUCCUGUCUUCCUGUCAACAUGUGAAACCCAUGUGAAUUUUAGGAUAGGAUGCUGUCUGGUCAUCAGCAGAGAGUCUUGACGCUGUAUUUAUACCAGUCACCACUGUAACCUUUGUUAUGUUUACCAAUCACCACUGUAACCUUUGUUAUGUUUACCAGUCACCACUGUAACCUUUGUUAUGUUUAGCAGACAGAUGAUGGACCACUCUACUUCCUUUGAAAACAAGUGUCCAUACAGAUUCACAAAGUUCCAAUGUUGAGUAUCCAUAAGCCUUAACCAAUGAGUGCAGUUUUAUGUAUUCUACAUUCAAAAAAUUUCUACCCAUGACAGGAAAAGCUGUCAGGUUGACAGGACUUUCCACACUGUUCCAGGUAUCAGUUUAGAAUUGAACAGUCAGCAGUAGACAUAGCCAGCUUCAUUAAA